GAGUUUGAUCCUGGCUCAGAGCGAACGCUGGCGGCAGGCUUAACACAUGCAAGUCGAGCGGAUGUAGCAAUACAUCAGCGGCAGACGGGAUAGUAACACGUGGGAACGUGCCCUUUGGUUCGGAAUAACUCGGCGAAAGCCGUGCUAAUACCGAAUAAGCCCUUACGGGGAAAGAUUUAUCGCCAUUGGAGCGGCCCGCGUCUGAUUAGCUAGUUGGUGAGGUAAUGGCUCACCAAGGCGACGAUCAGUAGCUGGUCUGAGAGGAUGAUCAGCAUCACUGGGACUGAGACACGGCCCAGACUCCUACGGGAGGCAGCAGUGGGGAAUAUUGGACAAUGGGCGCAAGCCUGAUCCAGCCAUGCCGCGUGGAUGAUGAAGGCCUUAGGGUUGUAAAAUCCUUUUUAACGGGGAAGAUAAUGACGGUACCCGUAGAAUAAGCCCCGGCUAACUUCGUGCCCAGCAGCCGCAGU
rnacentral:rRNA from 1 species